CUGGUGGUCGGGGCUGUGUUCGCUGCUCGGGGGCGCCGAGUUCCUCCGAGUCCGGCCUCGCGGCCGGUUUUUAGAAACGAGGCGCCCGAAAGGAGACCGCGCCACUGCCGGCUGGCAGCGCCGCUCAGUCGUCCGGGCCGAGCUACGGGCCUCCACCGUGCGGCUGGAGAAGCGGGUCAGUCCGUGGGACGCACUGGCCGUCUCCUGGAAGUAGUUCUUCAGGCAGGACGCGGGCGUGCGGCCUUCGGAGCUCACGGAGGCGCCGUGGUGGAGGGUAAGGGCCCGGCCGGUGACCGCGAGCCCGCAGCGCUUCCGGGGGCGCCCUGAUUCACAGCCGGCGCCCACUCACGCGAGGCGGAAGCUCUGGCUGACGCGGCAGGGAAGCUCGUGUGGACGCUGGGGCGGCCCACCGACCGAGCCGAGCGUCAGGCGCGCUGCGAAGCCCGGAGGCGGCGGAGGGCGUCGACGGGCGGUAGUGCGGCGGAUGCUGGCGGUGGCCGUGCAGGCGGGGUGCCUUGCUCUGGGGCGCAGUCCUGGCCGCGUGAAGGGGCCGCCGGCCAGCGGAGACCGCACCUGGGACGCGCGCCAGCUAGAUGCAGCGAAGCCUGAUGACGUGGAGUUAGCCCAAGUGGCUCCAUUUGGGGUCUGCUGUCUGUUUUUUUCAACAAUACCCUCUUUUGAUGAGACUCUCUGCUGAAACAAUUUCCUCUGAUGAGCGCCGCUCCCAGCUUGCACCCUGCAGUUACAGCCUGUUGCCGGUGUACUGUACCAUGCAGGGUCUGGACGUUUUGGUGACUCCCUGUGGUGUUCGCAGGUCACGACUUCGGGCUCUCCGGUUUUAGCCGUUCAUGCUCGGGGCUCUUUUUCCUCUGGUCCAGUCUUAAGGAGGUCAUUUGCUUGGGUUAACCACUGCAAACGUGCACUUAUAGCUUUUUAGAGAGUACAGAGUGUCAGGGGACCACUGCCGUUAUCAGAAGCAGGAUAAUCCUGCCUGGAGAGCCCCUUGAAGCCUCGUCCGCAUAUCCAAACCGAUCAAUCAAGUAAGUCAAAGAGAUGGCUUGAAGGAGGCACCUUUUAAAAAGCGAGCUGGCUUGCGCAGUAAUCUUAGGGAGCUCUGAGUUUCAACUUUCCCAUAAAUUAAUCCAGGCAGGGCGUGUUCCGCGCCGCACAGACACCUCCUGUUCAGCUGAGAGAUAAUCACGGGCUAUCCCAUUACCGGGAGCAGCGUUGGCCCUGCAGAGAUGGGAACCGCUGGUGAGAUCACGCUAUAGAGGCAGAUCUGGUUUAGAUAACAAUAAGAAAGCGGGGAUACAAAUGUACUACAAUCUGCACCGACAUUUGUAUGUGACUGGAUAAAUACAGUUAUAAUUGGAGAAAGGUAAAACGAGGCGCUGGAUGUUCUGUGGUUUCAAGUCAGACUCUGUAGAUGACUCCUAAGGGGGGUUGGUGCGCAGUAGGAGAGAAACUAGUCAGAGGCAACUCAGGGUCCCCCAAAUCAAGGACAAAUAGGCGUUUUAAUAACAAAUAGAGUAGUUUAAAAGGUCACCCCCUUAGCGAUGGGUUGGGACGUAUGGAUGGUGGCAUUACCUUUCCAGAUAAAUGCCAGCACGAAAGAAGAGACGGUUUCUUUGUUAAAGUAUGAAACCUUGAGCUGGUGUCUUUGGAAGCAGUCCACAUCGAAGUCAGCCACUUCUCAUUAGUUUGAUUUGGAGGUCUCCAGCGCCUACACAGGAACCGAUAUCAGGGGAAGCAUUCCACAGCUUUGGUAAGAAAGCAGUUAACUGAAGAGAUGUUAGUGCAGACUGACCAAGAGAAGACCCCGUAUGCUCCAUCCGCAUUUCCCGUGCCACUGGGCCUGAGGAAGGACUGAACCAGCAGACCCCAAUACAGUGUGGAAGGGGACUGAACCUCCAGAAGUUUCCUGUGCAGAAUUUGGGUUGGGUAGAGCCCAGAACUGUGGGGAACUUACGGUCUUGGUGAGGAAGACAGAGAACUUAAGGGGUUCAUGGGUGCCACACUGGUGUUUUCCACUGUCCCCAAAGCCAUCAGAUGACUCCUUUGGUCCUGCUGCUAACCAAUCUUUUAAAAAAAUUCAACUGAGUACAUUUAAAUAUCUAAUUGGCUUUAUUUAAGCAUUCAUGAAUUGGGCAGCAUCCCAUCCAGCAAAUAGAGAGAAGCCCUGGGGAGAUGGACAACAUGGAAGACCUUUAUAGGUAGAAGAGGGUGGGACAAGGAAGUUACUAGCAAAGAGUGGAUGGUUUCAGGCAAGGUCACCUUCCUUUAGGGGAUGACAGGGUCUAUCAGGCAGGUCACCUAACUAGUGCUGACCAGGAAAUUCCAGACCAACUGGUUAAGAUUCCAUUCCUGGGAGAGGUUUAAACUACUGUAAGGAAAGGUGUUAGUUAAGUCUUGGUUUGGUGGUGUGAGCUUAUAUAAGUGACUCCAUUUUGGGCCUGUUGUCUCCUUUUUAGCAAUAACCAGAUAUGGUGUGCCUCAUAAUGAAAGAACAUACCACACACACACACACAGUCCCUGCACACAGACACACACACAAAGAAUGAAAUCUGAUCAGGCACCUAAGUCCAACUGCUGAUGUAUAUAAACUAGAAAGGGAAGAGAGGCAGUCAGCAAGGUCAGACAAUGGGAAAAUCUAUAGGACAGUGUACUGGGUUCUUUAAUAAAUAAAAUGCAAGGGAAAAAAGUGGGAAACUAUAGGUUAAAAGAGGCUUAAAAAGGGGGGAGAGUGUUUAAAAGAUGUAUCACCCACUUGUAAUGUAUUGACCUUACUUAGAUUCUGAUUCAAACUCUGCAAGUGUUAAAAACUGACAUAAGAUCAUUUAAUUAAAAUAUUGAUUUGAUAUGUGAUAGUAUUAAGACACUAGAUAAUAGUAUUAUAUUAUGGUUAUAUUUUUAAAAAUCCUUAUCUUUUAGAGAUUCAUGCCAGGAAAGAAGUGCUUAAUUUUCCUUAAACUAAUUAAAUAGAGCUCUUUUAAAAAUUGGUUUUUUAAAACACUGAAAACAAACCAAUAAAUUGGCAUUUGAAAUUAACCAUACAAUCUAUACUAUAUCACUACACCCUCCUGCCAAAAAAAGGAAGUUCUUUAUGUGUUAAUAUGAAUUUAUCUCCAAAAUAUUCUAUUAAAUGCAAAACACUGGAUAUUGGGGGUGGGGGUGGUAUAUGUGUAAAAUAUGUAUUAGUAUGUGUUUCCUUGGAUAUUCAUAAAAUAUGUUCAGAAAGACACCCAAGUAAUGGUUAAAUUGUAGGAGAAUCUAGGGGAAAGGGUUGGGAAGAAAUGUUUUCAUUCAACCCAUUUUUACCUUUGAAUUAAAUAAGAAUUUUUACAUUCUAAAGAAAAGGAAAAGAAUUUGGCUACAGGAGUGUUGUGGGGACUGACACAUAUCUUAAUUACAUGUAGGCAUGUUUCUUUAGUUUGGAGUUUUCAGAGUUCUUAAUGUGUCAUCUAACUUUCACAUCUUUUCUUUACUCUUGCCAGGUAAUCUGUGUUGAAGCAAUCAUACCAGUUAUUCUAGAAAAACACCAUCCAGUCUGCUAUUAGAAGCUGUGUAAAGCUGUAAUGUCCUAAUGAUAACAUUAGGAAAUUCUAGGUGAGGUAGUUUUCAAAAGAUGGCAGUCACUUUGGAAAUCAAGGUGUACGUGGAAAUGUAGAUAUUUCAUUUUCCCAUUUAUUUGAUUUUGGAAUGGGCAAUUCAUUUUAAAGACUUUUAUAAAGUCAUAGUUGAGAUCUAAUUUGAUAUAUUAGUAUUGAAAGGUAUUAGCCUAUGGGUAGCUUUGUCAACUCUAAUUCAUAGAAGAGUAAUUACAGAAGACAUGCUUUAUUCACUUUAAACCAGCUGUAACAUGAGAAUUUUGUCAUCUAUUCCUUCAUACCAAAUAACAAAGGUAACUCUUUCAGCCAAUAGUUAGUCUCCAGUAAACAUCUUAGUUAUUUUAAAACGUGUUUAAUUAGACAUGUAAACCAGCACCUGUGAAUGGACAGUUAAAACAGGUCACAUUUGUCUAGGACUAAAGCUGACUUAGAGUGGUGGGGCAACGCCGUGCCUUGCCUGAUCCAUCUUCUGCUCUGCUGGCCUCACUUUCUAUAUCUGGUCCUGCCCAGUUUGGGGGCAUGAUGUGCUCCUAAUUAUUGCUGAUAUCUAUAGUCCCACAAUGGUCUCCAGUCUUAGUUUACACACUGGAGUUGUUUACCCUAAGCCCCAGGUUCCUUCCAACCAGCUGCCUCAAGGCUUCUGUAUCUCACUCCUUUGGAGAGGUGAUUUCUGUCAGCUGAUUUCCUCCUCCCUGAAGUGUUAGUCAUACAGGAUUCUGUAGCUUGUCCUCAGGCCCAUUAGGUUUAGACACUUCCCUUAAUAAUUGCUAAUCUAUUGCUUAAGCAUCAUGCCUGAAAGCAGGCCCACAAGACUUCAGUUUCUGAUUGUAGCAACAAAGCUAGGCAAUUUUGCCUUUCUCCUGUCUGCCUCUCAAGUUACCUGGAAUGCAAGAUCAGUAGAAAAGCAAAUGAAAGGAGGAAACUACAUGAUCAUCUCAAAAGAAUUUGAAAAAAGGUUUGAAACAAUUCAACAUCUAUAGACAAUAUCUAUAUAGAAAAAUGAUUAAAUUGAGUUAUUUGAAUAAAAUAAGAAUUCAGCAAAGUUGCUAGAUGGAAAAUCAAUGUACAAAAGUCUGUAUUUCUUAAAAUUGAGGUAUAACUGACAUACAACAUUAUAUUACUUUCAGUUGUACAACAUAAUGCUUUGAUAUUUGUAUACAUUGUGAAAUGAUCACCACAGUGACUAGUUAACAUUCAUCAUCACGGUCACAGAAUUUUUUCCUUUAUGAUGAGAACUUUUAAGAUUUACUCUAUUAGUAACUUUCAGAUGUGCAGUAUGAUAUUAACAAUAGUCAUCAGGCUGAACAUCACAUCCCAGGAUUUAUUUAUUUUAUAACUGAAAGUUUGUACCUUUUGACUCCCUUCAGAUAUUUUGUAUUUUAACAACCAGUUAAAUAAUAAAAUCAAAAGGAAAGAUAGCACUUACAACAAAAAGGUACCUAGAGACAAAUCUAACAAAAGAUGUAUAUUAACCCUUUACUGAAAGACAUUGAAGACUUAAAUCAUGAAAUUAGAUGAUGUUCAUAGAUUGGAAGA